AAUUUACAUUUGCAUGAUGUUCAGUGGGACUGCUCAGGUGCUUAAGUAUUUGUGGGAUCAGAGAGAGAGAAAUUGAAAGUUUGUGAGCCUUCCACGUCCACCCCUUGAUAUCUUCAUGGGAGAUGCUCAAGAUUGUUUAACCAACAUGCAUUUCUGAGCUGUGGGCUACUCAUCAAAUAAAAGAAUAUUUCAAAAGAGAAGACAUUUUGGAACAACAAAGGGAGAUUCUAAAAAAGGUUGCACCAGAGGCUCACAUCAAAAUUCAUAAGGCCAGUGCAACCAAUGCAAGAGCUGAAGACGAAAAGACAGCUGAGAAAAUAAUUCUCUGGAGAAAUUAGGAUACCUGUGUGUUUGAGGUAUGUUUGCUUUAUAAAUCAUAUAAACUAUUUUUCAGUCUUUCUGCUUGUGUUUAAAAAU
rnacentral:lncRNA from 1 species